GCUCACUGUUCUGCAGACUGUACAAGCAUGAUACCAGCAUCUGCUUGGCUUCUGAGGAGGCCUCAGGGGAGCUUUUACUCAUGGUGAAAGGCAAAUGUGGAGCAAGCAUGUCACAAGGCAACAACAGGAGCAAGAGGAAAGGACAGGUCCCAGACUUUUAAACAUUUAGAUCUUGUGUGAACUGAACAGGACUCACUUAUCACCAAGGAGAGCUAAACCAUUCAUGAGGGAUCUGCUCCAAUGAUCCAAUCACCUUCUACCAGGCCCCACCUCCAACACUGGGAAUCAUAUUUCUACAUGAGAUUUGGAGGGAACAAACAUCCAAACUACAUGAGAUGAGUUUGACUACUUUGGAUAUAUCAUGGCACCUGGUUUUGUGUAGAUACAACUCAGGGAAUUAUCUCCACACUGCAUCUGCCAUGAUCACCUGUGAGCACCUCCUCCUGAAACCCGUCUUCACGUCACCUUUUACCAGGCCGACCCUACUUUUCUCCAUCUGCUAAGAAGUGCAGCUCUACCACUGGAAGCAUCCACUUCGGUCUCACUCCCAUCCCUAGUGCUAAAGGACUCUCUAAGAGAGAAUGUCAGCACAGUUUUGACAGAAACACUCUAAAACUCCUGGAUAUUCCAGAAAAAUUAACUCUGGGCAAAAGAACAUUGGCAUCAAAGUAAAGCUCAAUUUAUACACCAUAGCAAUUUUUGAUAGCUAUAAACCUGACACGCAAAUAGAAUAUUUUAUGGCAUAACACUACGUUUACAUUAAAGUGCUUUUUAAUAGAAUAUGUAAUUUAGAAAUAUAAAAGUGCAUCUUAAUUGCCCACAAAUGAGACUUUAAAGUACUUAGAAGUAUCAAGAAUAUAAAAUGCAAGUGAUUAGAUGAACUAUGCUGUGAAAACUAACACUUAAUUCAAAUGUCAAUAAUUAAAUAAAGAAUAACGGUAGCAUUAAGACAAAACUCUGUAAACUGUGCAUAAAGCCUGUCCUGUGACUUUAAGUUAUAUCUUAUAUAGGCACAUUGUCACCUUUUAUAUUUAAUGCUGUCAUUAUGCAUGAUGUGGGAUCAUGUAGGUGUGUGUCACAGAGAUUUAGGAUCGGUAGACACCUUUGUCACUUCUUCAUACACUUCCUCACCCAUUAUUGAACAAAACAUUGCCAUUCACAGAUCUCUUGACUUUACUCAGCACAGAGCAUGCUAUUUCUAAUUUGUUCAUCACCUUACCAGCAACCUGUCUACCUCUGUUUCACCUGACCAGAGCAACAGCUUAAGGUUAAAAUCUAUGGGGACUUUCACAGCAUCUGUCUCUUGCUUUGGCCCCAUCAGGCUCAUCAAACUUCCCCACUGCAAACUUUUGUGUCACUAUUAAGUUCAAAACGAGUGAACCAGCAAAAUUACAAGCUCAUGGACCUGUGGUCCUUCCCGGCCACUGGAUGUUAAUGAUGGCUUUAAGUGAUGCUAUAGAAUGAUUAUAUUCAAAUAAUGUCAAUAUCUAAUGAAGUCAUGUUGUGCUACAAAGCAAGAUUGGGACAACAAUUUUAAUAAAUGCCUCAAAAGAAGAUUAUAGGGAGCCAUGAAAGACAGGAAAACUCAACCUACUUUAGGGGGUCUCAAAAGCUUCUCUGAAGACAGGACAUCCAAUCUCAGACCUAGAGGAUGAAUGAGUUACCCAGUAUGAAGAAAAAGAACAUGUUAAGCUUCUAAAGUAAGAAGAAAAAUGGAAUGAGGAACUAAUAGACUAGUAGGGAUGAAGAGAGAGGGGGAAAGAACAUUGAGCUAAAGCAAGAGAGGAACAGAUGUGGCACAUGACAAUUAGGGAGUGGCAAGAGUAAAAGUGAAGAGAGAGUUUCGAGGCCAUUAUAAUAAUUGGGGCAGAAGUGAUGUUGGCUUGGACUAGGAUGGUGGCAGAAGAAAAGAGAGAUGGACAUUUAGAAAUACACAUAACACUGUUUGAUGAUCAAUUGUAUAUGGUAAGUGAAGAAGAGGCAUUUGUUUCCUACAUUGUUGUAGGAAAUAAUGUAUAUGGUGGUCCAUUUUCAAGACAAAGUGCUUUAAAUAGGCUCGGGCCUGCAAACUAUGGAAAAACAGGAUACACUAGGCCCCUGCUUUAAUAGCCAGUGCCUGUUUGUCAUGGCCCCCUUAGUUACCCUCACCCGAACCAAAAAGUUUAGUCUAGAAUGAAAGUGUACUAGCCUGCAAAACAGCUGCUUUAUCUAUUCUUAUCAGCUUGCCUGACUACCUGGGUCAUAACUCAAGUACUUGUAAAGUCACGGAGCUGACCAUCAUUGCAAUGCAUUAUGGGCUGCAACAAAAUGCAGCAAGACAACCCUAAAAAAAACACCUAAAAGCCCCAACCCAAUGACCAAUAGGCGACGUCCGGGAAGAUUGUAACCCCAUAGUACUCAGCCUGUGAGGAACGGGGAAGGGACUUGUGCACUAGGGGAUAAAUUGCUUGUUGUAACCGUACUGGGUGUGCCUGCCCAUCAGACACCUGAUCUUGUAAGACCAUCAUUAAAAGUCUCUG
rnacentral:lncRNA from 10 species